rnacentral:rRNA from 1 species
AGUGAACGCUGGCGGUAGGCCUAACACAUGCAAGUCGAACGGCAGCACAGUAAGAGCUUGCUCUUACGGGUGGCGAGUGGCGGACGGGUGAGGAAUACAUCGGAAUCUACUUUUUCGUGGGGGAUAACGUAGGGAAACUUACGCUAAUACCGCAUACGACCUACGGGUGAAAGCAGGGGAUCUUCGGACCUUGCGCGAUUGAAUGAGCCGAUGUCGGAUUAGCUAGUUGGCGGGGUAAAGGCCCACCAAGGCGACGAUCCGUAGCUGGUCUGAGAGGAUGAUCAGCCACACUGGAACUGAGACACGGUCCAGACUCCUACGGGAGGCAGCAGUGGGGAAUAUUGGACAAUGGGCGCAAGCCUGAUCCAGCCAUACCGCGUGGGUGAAGAGGGCCUUCGGGUUGUAAAGCCCUUUUGUUGGGAAAGAAAAGCGGCAGGUUAAUACCCCGCUGUUCUGACGGUACCCAAAGAAUAAGCACCGGCUAACUUCGUG